rnacentral:rRNA from 1 species
GACGUAGGUGGCAAGCGUUAUCCGGAAUUACUGGGUGUAAAGGGCGUGUAGGUGGUUGUAUAAGUCCAAGGUUAAAUCUCUAAGCUUAACUUAGAAAUAGCCUAGGAAACUGUAUAGCUAGAGUACGGGAGAGGAAGGUGGAAUUACCAGUGUAGCGGUGAAAUGCGUAGAUAUUGGUAGGAACGCCGAUGACGAAGGUAGCCUUCUGGACCGAUACUGACACUGAGGCGCGAAAGCUAGGGGAG